rnacentral:rRNA from 1 species
CAAAGGUAGCAUAAUCAUUUGUCUAUUAAUUGUAGACCUGUAUGAAAGGCAAAAUGAGAGCCCAACUGUCUCUUAUAACAAAUCAAUUAAACUGAUCCCCUAGUACAAAAGCUAGGAUACCAACAUAAGACCAGAAGACCCUGUGAAGCUUUAACUAACCUAUUAAACCCAAUAAUAGCUACUUUCGGUUGGGGCGACCUUGGAACAAAAAAGAACUUCCAACAUAUGACUAAUCAUAAAACAAGGCAAACAAGCCACACCAGACCCAGUAUUACUGACAAUUGAAAUAAGUUACUCCAGGGAUAACAGCGCCAUCUUCUUUAAGAGCCCAUAUCAAAAAGAAGGUUUACGACCUCGAUGUUGGAUCAGGACAUCCCAGUAAUGCAGCCGUUACUAAAGGUUCGUUUGUUCAACGAUUAACAGU